UUUCUCAGCUUGGUUUAUUCCAACUCUAUAUGGAGUCUCUAGAAAUAAAUAGGCUGCUUCACCCAGCAGUGAGUACACCAAGCCACAGCAGGAGUGCUUGCAUCAAGGAGCAAGAAGGAGUGGGGAUACUCAGUGUAGCCACAUCCUAGAGGGCCGACUGCCCCCCAUUUUCUUUUCUACAGAGGAGUAUGCUAGGAUCCCAAAUAUGAUUACCUCUUUGAGCUCCUUGGUGACCUCCUCCUGGGCAGCGCUCCUUCUCAGGACUCUGCUGCUGGCUGCUGUCACCUUCCUGUUCCUGGCUGGCAUCCUCAGACGCCAUCGCCCAAAAGACUACCAACCAGGGCCAUGGCGUCUGCCCUUUGUGGGCAACUUCUUUCAAAUAGACUUUGAGCAAAGCCACUUGGUGCUUCAGAAGAACUUCAGUACUAAGUCCACUGACUGUGUAUAUGCCUGACAUCCAUGGAUCCUCAAAGUUUGCAAAGAAAUAUGGGAAUGUAUUUAGUCUGGAGUUGGACAGACCAUCAGUGGUGGUUGUAACGGGACAACCUUUAAUCAAAACAAAAAUGUUUACCCACCUGGAGCAAAAUUUCGCGAAUCACUUUGUAACUUCUGUGAGAAAAAGAGCCAUCGGUAAUAAUGGAUUGAUUACAUCUAACGGCCAAACAUGGAAGGAGAAAAGACGGUUUGCUCUGAUGACACUGAAGAACUUUGGAUUAGGAAAGAAGAGUUUGGAGCAGCGUAUGCAUGAAUAGGCCUUCCACCUUGUGGAAGCCAGAAGGGAGGAGGGAGGACAACCUGUGGAUCUUCACUUGAUCAACAAUGCAGUUGCCAAUGUAAUUUGCUCCAUCACCUUUGGAGGGCGCUUUGAGUAUGAGGACUGCCAGUUUCAGGAAAUGCCGACGUUACUAGAUGAGGCCUUACAUGUGCAGGCUUCAAUGGCAAGCCGGGUAGGUAGAACUACCCCUUCUCCUCACUUGAUUAAGAAUCUGGAUAGUGUUGUUGGUCAGAAUGUCUUCAUUCAUGUUUACUUUUUUAAAAAUCUAAGAUAUGUUUUUUAUUUAAUUUUUAAAACUUUUAUUGGUUCUUGGUUCAUUUCAUAUCAUACACCCCAAUCCCACUUAUCUCCCUCUUCCCCUCAUAACUGUCUUCCACCCUUGUAAUUUCCCCCACAAUGGAGAAAAAGAGAUCUAGUUGUAGCAGCUGUAGUUGAAUCACUGUGUGUCCCAUGGGAUACCCUUUUGUCCAUGCGUCUUUACUUGCAAAUGUUUAUUGCCAUGAUUCAUUCUGGUAUGAAGCCUCUGACUGCUGCUACUGUCUUUAUUAGUACUGAAACCUCACUUCAACUCCUGUCAGCUACCCUGUUGUUGCACUAUGUCAUGGAGAACCUGUAGUUCCAGAUCUGUAGAACUGGAUUCUUCAUGCACAUCAACAGUUUAUCUGUGGGGUAGAUGGUGGGAUGAGCCAAUUCAAAUCUUUGGAUGUGGAUCUGAGUGGUAUCUGAGGUGAUCAUCUCACUAGUUCUUUUGCUUUCAUGUCCUCGGGACUUAUGCAUCCCCACCAUAAACAGGGCAAGUUCUACACCGCUGCUCCAUCGAGGUGCAGCGCCUGCUCUUCUGCGUCCUGCAGCUGAUAAGAGACAUGACCAGUCUCCUAUUCUCAUGACCCUGGGGUCAACUCUCCUGCCUGCCAUAAGUGAGAUGAUCUAGAGAGGGGAAGAGGGUAUCUCUAGUUUGUAGCACCAUCACACAGCAGACAAGAGGCAGAGCAAGCUCUCCCAUCCUUAUGACUUCAAGGGCAGCUCACUAGCCACCCCCAUAUGCAGAGCAAGCUCUAAUGCUGGCAAGAUACAGGACCUGCUUUCCCAAGUGUGGCAUUCAGUGAGGGACAUGGCCAGUACUCUCAUUCUCAGGACCAUGGCCAGCUCUCCUGCCUGCCAUAGGUGAUGAGGGAGAAAGGAGAGGAGGAGGAUAUCUCUUCUUCAUCUGUGAUAUCACAAAGCAAACAAAAGGCAGGACGAAAUUUUCCUGCCUGCAGUAGAUAACAAGGGCAAGGAUGUGGGAGGGUAUCUCUCCUGUAUCCACAUUGCUGUCCUGGUUAAAAAAAAAUUGCGAGGCCACCUCUGCCAUAGUCACAUGAUUGGGAACCGCUCACCUGAUCAUUACUACCAGAUCAGCUCUACUGUGCUGCCCAGGCAAUUCAAUACAAAUUAUUGAAAUUACUUUGUAGACUCUAAUAUUCUCUAUAAGAGGGAAUAUUAUAUCAAAUGUUUCUUUUUCACGUUGUAAAAUGUUUAUUUUAAAUUUUCAUUCUUCCCUAUCAUUUUUAUGUCUACAAGGUGUCAGUGAUAGUCGGUUCAGUGUGCACACCACACUCUACCUGCUAAGAAACACUCAAAGGUUAAUAAAGUAUGUAUAUACCAAAAUCAGUUAGUCUUUUUCUUUUAAGAUAUUCAUUAAUUGAAAUAUAUAUUUCCAAAGAUGAGCUCAUUUUAUUGAAAUUAAUAUUCAAAUGAAACACAAAGCAAAUAUAAAUGGUGUGUCUUUUAUACUUAUAACUAUUGCAGCUGAUAUUACUUAACAUAAGUUGAUUCCUUUUGAUCCAGUACUUCUUAUGAUUAGGUUUAUUUUUUUCCUGCUACUAAUUGUUAAAGAUAACUUUUCUGCCAUACCUCUUGUAUUAAGACAUGAUUAUUUUACCUAGUAAACCUAACUAUUGUGAAAAUUAACCUGGAAUGCUAUAUAAAGAUGGGAAUAUUAUUACUUGGCAUAUAUAACACAAAGUGCUCAAGAUAUAAAUGAUUUUUCUAGUAUGAAGCAAGAGAAUAAAUAUUGACACUUUGAUUUUGAGCAGGAAAGAGUUCCCAGGCUUCUUUUACAGUGUUCCUCAAGAUGUAUCCCACACAGAACACUACUUCAAAACUGUCAAGGAGGGACUUUCAAAGAAUAGUGUCCAGAGAUGAUACAGAGAAGCUUAGUCAGAAUCCCCAGAGUUAGGGGUUGGGGAUUUAGCUCAGUGGUAGAGCGCUUGCCUAGGAAGCGCAAGGCCCUGGGUUCGGUCCCCAGCUCCGAAAAAAGGAAAAAAAAAGAAUCCCCAGAGUUGAUAACUAAGCAUAAACUUUCAUAAUUAUAUUACUGCAUUUAACUAUCAUCUUAUGAUGCUUGAGGUAAAAAAAGUAUCUAUGUCAAAGUGUUUUUAGACCACACUCUUGAUCAAAAUAAUUGUGAUAUUGGGCCACCUGUUGAUGUGUCUAUGUUCUCAUGUUAGUUUAUGAAGUAAGAGUACAUAUUAUUUAUAUUCCUUCAAACUGUAAUGUUUUGCCAAAGCAGAAAUUUUGAAGCCCAUAAAGAAAUGCAGACCAAGAAAACUAUCAAGAUCGAAAAAUUAAGUAAAUAUAAAAUAUGCUUCAUAAAAGACAAAAAGGAAAGAAGAAAGUUGAACUUUUAAA
rnacentral:sRNA from 1 species